CCUACGGGAGACAGCAGUGAGGAAUAUUGGUCAAUGGUCGGGAGACUGAACCAGCCAAGCCGCGUGAGGGAUGAAGGUACAGAGUAUCGUAAACCUCUUUUGUCAGGGAACAAAGGCGGGGACGUGUCCCCGGAUGAGUGUACCUGAAGAAAAAGCAUCGGCCAACUCCGUGCCAGCAGCCGCGGUAAUACGGAGGAUGCGAGCGUUAUCCGGAUUUAUGGGGUUUAAAGGGUGCGCAGGCGGUCUGUUAAGUCAGCGGUCAAAGCCCGGGGCUCAACCCCGGCCCGCCGUUGAAACUGGCAGUCUCGAGUUGGAGAGAAGUAGGCGGAAUGCGCGGUGUAGCGGUGAAAUGCAUAGAUAUCGCGCAGAACUCCGAUUGCGAAGGCAGCAUGCCGGCUCCACACUGACGCUGAGGCACGAAAGCGUGGGUAUCGAACAGGAUUAGAUACCCCAGUAGUC
rnacentral:rRNA from 1 species